rnacentral:lncRNA from 1 species
CAAUGAAUCAACUGACUAUAAGAGACCAAAAUGACACAGAACUUAACAACUAUAGGUCACCGUACGGCCUUCAACAAUGAGCAAAGCCCAUACCGCAUAGUCAGCUAUAAAAGGCCCCGAAAUGACUAUGUAAAACAAUUCAAACGAAAAAACUAACGGCCUUAUUCAUAUAAAAAAAAAAUGAACGAAAAAAGACAUGUAUUACAUAAACAAACGACAACCACUGAAUUACAGGCUCCUGACAUAGGACAGGCAC